UGGGGGAUAUUGCACAAUGGGCGAAAGCCUGAUGCAGCAACGCCGCGUGAGGGAAGACGGUUUUCGGAUUGUAAACCUCUGUCUUUGGUGACGAAACAAAUGACGGUAGCCAAGGAGGAAGCCACGGCUAACUACGUGCCAGCAGCCGCGGUAAUACGUAGGUGGCGAGCGUUGUCCGGAAUUACUGGGUGUAAAGGGAGCGCAGGCGGGAAGACAAGUCAGCUGUGAAAACUAACGGCUUAACCGAUAGAGUGCAGUUGAAACUGUUUUUCUUGAGUGGAGUAGAGGCAGGCGGAAUUCCGAGUGUAGCGGUGAAAUGCGUAGAUAUUCGGAGGAACACCAGUGGCGAAGGCGGCCUGCUGGGCUUUAACUGACGCUGAGGCUCGAAAGUGUGGGGAGCAAACAGG
rnacentral:rRNA from 1 species